CCGGACAAGAUGGCGCCCGCCCCACGCCGGCGGCCGAGGGCUGCGCCCUUUCCUCGCUGUCCGCCUCAGAAAAAUCAUAGCCUGGAUCCGUUCUGCCACACAGUGGCUACUGUGGAGAACAGUCAGAAACCCAUAUGACAUCCUUGUGCUAAAUAGGCAAAUUGGAAGGGAUACUGAUGUAUUUAUUUCCCUUCACAGUUUUAGUCACUUCAAAGCGUGCCACACUCUUCCAUUCCUCAGCAAAAAGAACAGUACAGACGGUCUCUUUAACUGACUGCCAUGUUGAUGGGGCAUCAAAGUGCUUGAUUAAAUAGAAGCUCUCCUGUUGCUUCCCAAGAUGGAUAUGGAGUAUGUGAUAAAUGGCCAAUAGCUUGCCUGACAUUGUCCAAAGGCUGUAAACACUAACUGAAUCCCCAUUCUCACCUGCUGCCAGUUACUGCUUCCUGCUCUCUCCUUGUCUUACUGAUGUCGUUUUGCAAACCAUUUUGGAACACCUUAAAUUUGAGAUGGCAGCAAAGGGGCAAUUUGACAAAAAGAUGUCUGAAGCGAAGGUGUGUCACUGAAUUCCUCCAUGUAGAAGCAACUGCACCCAUUGAUGUUUAUUGAUGCUUGCUGAACGUUUAUGGAGACUUAACAGUGGAUGUGAGCACAGUGAGGAGGUGGGUGGUGCAUUUCAUCAGUGGUAACAGUGACAGUGGGUCACCUCCACUGCUACAGGUUGUUAUGAGUGCGUCAUGCAGGCUGUUGUUCAUCACUGGUGAAAAUGUAUAGUUUGUGGUGGUGACUGUGUUGAAAACUAGUCUUUUGUAGCUGAGAAUUUGCUCUAUCACCUACUGUUCUUGUGCUCUUUGUAUCUACUGUAGUUUCUGUGGAAAUGAAUUGGAGGCAUUGCUUUCAGAUCUACAUAGGUACAUCAUGAAAAUAAAUAGCUUGUUUAAAGAAUGAGUCUAUUCAUACUCUAGUGAGGGGGAAGUAACAGCCUGCACUUAUCUCUUAGUAAACACCACACAUGAGAUCCACAACAUAAGUCUCCCAUCCCAUGAAACUACUUGUUUAUGAAUGCUAUUUAGAGGCAUCUGUCUUUUAUGUGAUAAUCUUUUUUUUUUAUUAGCAUAUACAACUUUAAUAUUCAGCAAACCCAUCUUGCAUAACAUUCUAUGAUUUACUGAAAUGAUAUGCAGACUGCAGAAUCGGCAGUGCUGAUAAAAGUGACUGCUCCCAUCUAAUGGUAAAUGGAAGAACAACAGAAAAAUAAUAAUAAUAAUAAAAAAUUCUGCUUUACAGCAGUAACUGUAGGCACAUUGAAAGUUAUAUUCCCAGAUCCAGAGGGUUCAAAAUAGAACCUAAAUAAGAUAGCAAGUAGGAGGAUAAGAGGAUGGUAAUAUUAACAAGUUAUUUUAAAUAUAUAUUUUUAACUUGCUUUUAAUGUUGUAACAGUAGAUGUUAAAAUAAAUAUUGUCUUUUUAUCCAGUUCUUAUUACAACUUGUGUGUGGAUGAAACUUUGAUCUUGUGGACAUGAGGAUAUGUAUGAUAUAUAUAUAUAUAUAUAUGUUAUAUGUAUGUAUAUACAUGAUAUAUAUGUAUGAUAUAUGUAUUCUAUUCAAAUGAUAGCACAUGACAGAUUAAACCUUUAGGUGGAAUAAGGAUAGAUAGAAACAUUUCUGAACAAAGUACUUCAUAGGAGAGAUGCAGAAGAGGAUGUAUGUAUGGCACAGUAUAAUUAGGUAUGGAAAUUAUUCGGUUAUCGUGGUGAUAUGAAAUUAGAGGAUUCAUGGAAUCAUUUAGGUGGGAAAAGACUCUUAAAAUCAUCAAAUCCAAGCAUUGCUAGAAUUGUAACACGUUGGAUAUAUACAAGUUCAGUAACACACAUCAUGAUUAUAUAAUGAAUGUUAUUAAACAUCUACUCACAAAAUUAUUCCAUUAAAAUCAAUUAAAUAUUCUCAGUAGCUAUGUAUUUGUGUACUGGAGGAGCAAGACCUGCAGUAUAAGACAUCAUUAAAGGACAAUAUUCCUUUUCUGUAGCCAUUGCCAAUGUAACCACAGCUAUUGCUGUGUGACCUGAUGAGAAAGAA
ensembl:lncRNA